GUGGUCUCGCUUCGGCAGCACAUAUACUAAAAUUUGAAUGAUACACAGGAGAGUAGAAGGGCCCAAGCACCAGGAUGACAUGCGAAUUCGUGAAGCGUUCCCUAUUUUU